rnacentral:sRNA from 1 species
GCCGGGCGUUGUGGUACACGCCUGUAAUCCCAGGGACUCAGGAGGCUGAGUCAGGAGGAUCCUGAGUUCAAAGCCAGCCUCAGCAAAAUCAAGGCACUAAGCAACUCAGUGAGACCCUGUCUCUA